rnacentral:rRNA from 1 species
GACAGAGGCCUCAAGCGUUAGGCGGAAUCACUGGGCUUAAAGCGUGUGUAGGCGGAUCGUUAAGUGUCUUGUGAAAUCCCACGGCUCACCCGUGGAACUGCUGGGCAUACGUGGCGAUCUUGGGCCAACUAGGGGCAACUGGAACAAGCGGUGGAGCGGUGAAAUGCGUAGAUAUCGCUUGGAACGCCAAAGGUGAAAACAGGUU